AGUGAACGCUGGCGGCAGGCCUAAUACAUGCAAGUCGAACGGCAGCACAGCAGAGCUUGCUCUGUGGGUGGCGAGUGGCGGACGGGUGAGGAAUACAUGGGAAUCUGCCCAGUCGUGGGGGAUAACGUAUGGAAACGUACGCUAAUACCGCAUGCGCCCUACGGGGGAAAGCCGGGGACCUUCGGGCCUGGCGCGAUUGGAUGAGCCCAUGUUCGAUUAGCUAGUUGGCGGGGUAAAAGCCCACCAAGGCGACGAUCGAUAGCUGGUCUGAGAGGAUGAUCAGCCACACUGGAACUGAGACACGGUCCAGACUCCUACGGGAGGCAGCAGUAGGGAAUAUUGGACAAUGGGCGCAAGCCUGAUCCAGCCAUGCCGCGUGAGUGAAGAAGGCC
rnacentral:rRNA from 1 species